CUUUAGUAACGUGACUGCGUGAGGGAUGGAAACGGCAUCCUAUUGUGGCGGGGUUCGCCACAAUAGAUAUAGUGUACAGCCCGACCCUUG
rnacentral:sRNA from 1 species